rnacentral:misc_RNA from 1 species
UUUCCGUAGGUGAACCUGCGGAAGGAUCAUUAAUAAAUGGUCUACGUUUUUUAAGUAGACGCUUAAUAUCCUACCUUUGUGAAUUUGUUUGUUUGAAAUAAUUUUUUUAAAAUUAUUGAAUGUCUUUCCUGUUGAAUUGGUUGUCUUAAUGGCAAGUGAUUCGCAGGGAGUGUCAAUAAUUUUAAAAAGACCUUUUUUAAAUUAAACUUUUUGUAUCAUUUGUCUAAAAUUAUUUUUAUAAUAUAAAAACAACUUUUGACAAUGGAUCUCUUGGUUCUCGCACGAUGAAGAACGCAGCAAAAUGCGAUAAGUAGUGUGAAUUGCAGAUACGUGAAUCAUCGAAUCUUCGAACGCAUAUUGCACUUUUUUAGUUUACUAAAAAAGUAUGUCUGUUUGAGUAUCAGUAAAUAUUCUCAUAAAAAACAUUGUUUUUUUAUGGUUAUGAGUGUUUACAACGAUACAAGUGUUUCACUUUAAAUUUUUUAAAAUUUGAAUUUUUCUAAUUUUAAAAUAAAUUGGAUAAAAUUUCCGUAAAAAGGAAUAACCUAAACAAUUUUAGUUUUUUAUUAGAAUUUUUCAUUAUAAAGGAAAUUUAAUAAAUAACUUGAUCUCAAAUCAGAUAAGAGUACCGCUGAACUUAAGCAUAUCAAUAAGCGGAGGAAAAGAAACUAACAAGGAUUCCUUAGUAACGGCGAGUGAAGCGGAAGAGCUCAAAUUUGAAAUCUUCAAGGUUUUACCUUGACGAAUUGUAGUUUAAAGAAGUGUUUUCUGUUGAAGUUUUGGUAAAGUUCUUUGGAAUAGGACAUCAUAGAGGGUGAGAAUCCGUAUUUGACCAUUAUUUUCAGCUGUGUGAUACACUUUCAAAGAGUCGGAUUGUUUGGAAUGCAGCCAAAAUGGUGGAAAUUUCAUCUAAAGCUAAAUAUUGGCGAGAGACGAUAGCGAACAAGUACCGUGAGGGAAAGAUGAAAGAACUUUGAAAGAGAGUUAAACAGUACUGAAAUUGUCAAAGGGAAGCGUUUGACACCAGUGUUGUUUUCUCGAAAUCAAUUAAAAAAGUUGGAUUUUGUGUUGUAUUGACUUAACAGCUUGCUUCACUCUUUCCUGCUUUUUUAAUGCACUUUUCGUUUAACAAGUCAACAUCAGUUUCUUUGUUGUAAAGGUCAUUGGAAGUGGCUUUCUCUUCGGAGAAAGUGUUUAUAGCCUUUGAUCUCUGCAAUCGGAGAGACUGAGGUCUGCAGCGUAGAUCCUUCGGGUUAGAUACAUUUGUGCUAAGCUACAGCUUUUCAUAGACAACUUGUUGACUAUGUUUAGUCUUGUGACUACCGCUUAUGCUAUU